rnacentral:rRNA from 1 species
AUACGGAGGAUGCAAGCGUUAUCCGGAUUUAUUGGGUUUAAAGGGUGCGUAGGCGGUUUGCUAAGCGGGAGGUGAAAUGCCGGCGCUCAACGUCGGAAGUGCCUCCCGAACUGGUGGACUUGAAUGACUCUGCCGUGGGAGGAAUGUGUAGUGUAGCGGUGAAAUGCCUAGAGAUUACACAGAACACCGAUUGCGAAGGCAUCUCAGGAAGGGUUGAUUGACGCUGAGGCACGAAAGCGUGGGGAUCAAACGGGAUUAGAUACCCUGGUAGUCCACGCAGUAAACGAUGAUGGCUAACCGCUGGGCUUAUCAGUUCAGUGGCCAAGCGAAAGCGAUAAGCCAUCCACCUGGGGAGUACGGCCGCAAGGUUGAAACUCAAAUGAAUUGACGGGG